AUGGAGUUGGGGUUCGGCGACACUGGCUUACUUGUAUCGACAGGUAUGAAGUUGUUUCCUUUUCACUUCAUUGAUACAUUAUCAAUGCGCUCUUGCGGCAAAUUUGACCAUAUUCUCUUUUAUGUGCAGUUGGACGAAGCCUGUUGUAGGCACACUGGAGGUAUUGGUGGUUGUCUGCUCGCACUUUUCAUAUGGAGCUGGGAGUGUUUGCCGGUUGGACGACCGAAGACCGUGAAGUACGAGGAUUGGGACGACAAAGACGACCCACUACGGCUCCCCACUUGGGCUCACAAGUGGGAUGUGUUAAAUGAGACGACGGAUGAUCCCUCGGUCAUGUACAAGUUGUACAAGAGCGAGCUGGACGCGAUCACGCCUGAGCAGGUGAACCGACAUUGCAUAAGUGAUUAUCAUGCUUGUAUCGUAACUCGAUAUCAAUUUUGCAUUCUAUCCCAUUUUGCAGGUGGAAUGGGAGCCGUAUGGAAAAGGAGAGAGUUUUGGUAA
rnacentral:rRNA from 1 species